AGGGCCAUAGCUCAGUGUUAGAGCAUCUGCUUUGCAUGCAGAAGAUCCCAGGUUCAAUCCCUGGAGUCUCUA